UUUCUUAGAAUCCUAUCCAGUAUUAUCAAAGUGUAAUCAGUUAUCUUUUUGAACAGCAGUUUGGCAAUGACAAUCAAAAUUCAAGUGUGUAAAACUUUUGAAAUGGUAUAACUUGCUGAUGGGAUUUUAUCUAUUCCUACUCUCAAAUUCAUAAAGAAGAAAGUAUGUCAUAGAUGAGUAUAACAAAAAAUUUGAAUGUCUGAAAUAUACAUUAAAAGAACGAUUGUAAUGAUAGCUAAUACUUAAGAAUUUUUGAACACUGAAAAAAAUUGUUAUUGAAGGGUGUUUUAAGUUGAUUUUUUUCAGUUAUUUUUGUGCAAACAUCAACUAAAUGUGUGUGCUGUGGUGUGUCCAUAUGCCUCUGGUUUUUCUAUUUGCAAUAUUAAUGGUUAGUAUUCAUGGGGAAUGGGAUUAGUCCAACAUGAUAAUAGAGUUAAGUAAUGCUUACUCAUUAGUGUUACUGUAAUGGUGAUUAUUUUAACAUACUUUUUGAAAUUUUUGUACACGUGUAAGUUAAAUACUAAAACCUUUAUAUAUUUGUGUAUUGCUACAUGACAAUCUAAAAUGCAGAUGUGAAUUAUUGAAUGGAAAGUUGAAUGGAGAAACAUGACAAAAUGUUAACAUUACUGUAUAAAUAGAUCAGAAAAGAAGGGACUGUUGGUACUUUCUGCCUUUAAAAUUUGGAAGGUAUUUCAAAAGCAAGAUUUAAACAACAGAGGGAAUUUUAAAGAUACAACCAAUUUGUGCCUGUGUUCAUUGUUACCUGUUGGCAUCUUGGGAGCGUUGGGCUGUUGUAUCCAACUUUGUUUUCCCAGUGACUGUUAUGAAUAGUUUUGAGUGAUCAUGAAGAGCGGUGACUUAGAUACUAGUGCGGCACAGGGUUUUACACGGUGAAACAGUAUUGGAUUACCCAUGGAAAGGAAGGAGAAGAUGGGAUUUGAGGUGAACAUGGUGAAAGACAUAAGGUGCAGAUAACCGGAGAAUAUCUGACAUCAUCAGGAACAUUCUUCCUGUGAAGUUUCUUAAUUUAUAAAUCUCAUCUCUAAACCACAGGGAGAUGAUAGUUGCAAGAAAAGAUACUUUUGCCAUCUUUGUUUUUAAUCUCAAUAAUUGGUACCACCAGACCUGUUGCAGUAUUCCACAUUUCAAGUGUUCUUCACUCUCAUCACUAGGCCCAGGAGAACCCCUUGGCGAUAAUGCUUUGUGUCCUCUCAGGUGACGACUGAAUAGGAAAACUGAUGCCAUUGCUUCUGUCACCAUCUUCAGUAAAACCAGAAGACAGUCUUCAUAAUGUAUGGAGAUUCCUCAUUGAUGUGUUGCAAUGGACACUCCUUGUAGAUCAGAAAAGCAGGUUGAGAAGGCCCAAGUUUGAAAGUGACCUAAAGGGUGAUAUUGGAGAGAAUUGUGACCAGGCAUGUUGACUGUUUUCAUUGUUGCCAUUGGACUAAAUCUCAGGAGCUUGAGACGUUAGGACACAGAGACACUCAGGAUGGUGUAAUUUCAAGGCUUCAUUUCAGUGCUCCCAUAAAUAUUAACUGCAUAUUUUAAAAAUUUCACUUAUCACAGGGAAAUUAAAAUUGAUUCAUAAAAGAAAUCAUCUUUUUCAAGAUUUCGAAGGACACGGAAAUUUGUAAAGUAUAAUAUUUUACUUCUUAAAUGCCUUUUUUCCUCCUCUAAUUCUGCCACCUCUGUGUUAUCUACUGUUAAUGAAAUUUUGUGCACAUCCUUGUGCAAUACACCUUCUGGGUGUAUUAAUAAAUUAAUAUGCAAGUCAUUUGGAGGGGGGUCUAUAUACUAGCUACAGAUUUUCUUUGCAGUAAACAUGGUUUAUAUAUCAAUUAUAAGUCUAUCCAGCUAAUUUGUUGAAAUAAUUCCAGUGAUUGGAACUGCUAGGACUAAGGAUAUCCAAAUUUUAUAGUUUUGAGUCCAACUAGAUUCUCCCCUACUUUAUAGGCAGGACCUCAUCAAUCUUGUCCCUUAGUGUUUAUGUGAGUAUAUUUCCUAGAACUGUACAAGUGUUACAUUUUUAAUCUUUGGUAAUAUGGUAUUACAAAGAAAUUGCUUUUCUCCUGUUAUUGGUCAGCUCAGUCAUCUUAUAUGCUUAAUCCUUACUAGUUACUUCUGUUAUUUCAUUUUUUUCUGGGUUUUUUUGUUUUGUUUUGGGUUUUUUUGGUUCAUUUAUUUUUCCAAUUCCCGUGGUAUACAAUGUCUUUGUUAGUGGCUUCUAAGAACUCAUUUAUGACUUAAGGAUGUUAACAAUUUGUCAUGCAAUGAAAAUGAAAUAUAUUUUAUUGCCAUCAGUUUACUAUGGUGUUUUGUAUUUUGGUUGUGUAUUAAAAUAUAAUCAUGUUGUGUUUUA